rnacentral:rRNA from 1 species
GACGUAGGGCGCGAGCGUUGUCCGGAUUUAUUGGGCGUAAGGAGCUCGUAGGCGGCUUGUCGCGUCGUCCGUGAAAACCUGCGGCUCAACUGCAGGCUGGCGGUCGAUACGGGCAGGCUGGAGUUCGGUAGGGGAGACUGGAAUUCCCGGUGUAGUGGUGGAAUGCGUAGAUAUCGGGAGGAACACCAGUGGCGAAGGCGGUUACCUGGAGCUUUGCUGACGCUGAUGCGCGAAAGCGUGGGGAGCGAUCCGG